rnacentral:rRNA from 1 species
AACGAACGCUGGCGGCAGGCCUCAAACAUGCAAGUCUAGGGGGUGUAGCAAUACAUCACCGGCGGACGGGUGCGUAACGCGUGGGAAUAUACCCUAUCGAUUCGGAACAACUGAGGGAAACUUCAGCUAAUACCGAAUACGUCCUAACGGAGAAAGAUUUAUCGUCGAUAGAUUAGCCCGCGUUCGAUUAGCUAGUUGGUGGGGUAACGGCCCACCAAGGCGACGAUCGAUAGCUGUUCUGAGAGGAAGAUCAGCCACACUGGGACUGAGACACGGCCCAGACUCCUACGGGAGGCAGCAGUUGGGAAUCUUGGACAAUGGGGAAAACCCUGAUCCAGCCGAUGCCGCGUGAGUGAUGAAGCCUUCGGGUUGGUUAAAACUUACUUUCCGUCGCACG